CGAUCUCACCAGUGACCUCCUGGGCAGCGGCAUCCCCUUCCUCGACUACAAGGUGUAUGCGGAGAGGAUCUUCUUCCCUGGGCACCGCGAGUCGCCCUUGCACCGGGACCUGGGUGUGCCUGAGAGCAGACGGCCCACUGUGGAGCAAGGGCUGGGGCAGCUCUCUAACCUGCUCAACAGCAAGCUCUUCCUCACCAAGUUCAUCCACACGCUGGAGAGCCAGCGCACCUUUUCAGCUCGGGACCGUGCCUACGUGGCAUCUCUGCUCACCGUGGCACUGCAUGGGAAGCUUGAGUAUUUCACUGACAUCCUCCGCACUCUGCUCAGUGACCUGGUUGCCCAGUAUGUGGCCAAGAACCCCAAGCUGAUGCUGCGCAGGACAGAGACUGUGGUGGAGAAGCUGCUCACCAACUGGAUGUCCAUCUGUCUGUAUACCUUCGUGAGGGUGAGGGGGCAGAGGUGGACAGGGCUCCUGUCCAGGGAGGGUCAGGCCCUCCAAACUGCUAAGCCCUCAGCCACCAUGCAGCUCGGACACUUGUGCCAGAGCAGAGACUCCUGCUCAGCCUGUCCUCAGUCCCCUUAAGCCCAUGUCCUGUCCCCUUCCCCAGUGUGCGUCAUGUCCCAUACACCUCUGCCACCUGCUGGGGGGCCCUAACUGCCUGUGCUCUCCUAGGACUCCGUAGGGGAGCCUCUGUACAUGCUCUUUCGAGGGAUUAAGCACCAAGUGGAUAAGGGGCCAGUGGACAGUGUGACAGGCAAGGCCAAAUACACCUUGAACGACAACCGCCUGCUCAGAGAGGAUGUGGAGUACCGUCCCCUGACCUUGAAUGCACUAUUGGCUGUGGGGCCUG
rnacentral:sRNA from 1 species